rnacentral:rRNA from 1 species
UACGUAGGUGGCAAGCGUUACUCGGAAUCACUAGGCGUAAAGCGCAGGCAGGCGGUUCGGUAAGUCUUUUGUGAAAGCUCCUGGCUCAACUGGGAGAGGUCAAAGGAAACUACCGGGCUAGAGUUUGGUAGGGGAUACUGGAAUUCCUGGUGUAGCGGUGAAAUGCGUAGAUAUCAGGAGGAAUACCUAUGGCGAAAGCAGGUAUCUGGGCCACAACUGACGCUGAGCUGCGAAAGCUAGGGGAGCAAACAGG